rnacentral:rRNA from 1 species
AACGGCUACCACAUCCAAGGAAGGCAGCAGGCGCGCAAAUUACCCACUCCUGACACGGGGAGGUAGUGACGAAAACUAACAAUACGGGACUCUUUUGAGGCCCCGUAAUUGGAAUGAGUACACUCUAAAUCCUUUAACGAGGAUCUACUGGAGGGCAAGUCUGGUGCCAGCAGCCGCGGUAAUUCCAGCUCCAGCAGCGUAUAUUAAAGUUGUUGCAGUUAAAAAGCUCGUAGUUGGAGGUCGGGCCGCCGGCGGCGGUGCGCAUCCAUGUGCGUCGACUGCCGUCGGCGCCUAACCGGCGGCGCGCGGCGGGUGCCCUUAGCUGGGUCGCCCGCGGCUCCCGCCCCGUUUACUUUGGAAAAAUUAGAGUGUUCAAAGCAGGCCCCGUCGCCUGAAUAACGUUGCAUGGAAUAAUGGAAUAGGACCACGCAUCCUACUUUGUUGGUUCACGGAGAACGUGGUAAUGAUUAACAGGGACGGCCGGGGGCAUUCGUAUUGCGGCGCGAGAGGUGAAAUUCUAAGACCGUCGCAAGACGAACUACUGCGAAAGCAUUUGCCAAGAAUGUUUUCAUUAAUCAAGAACGAAAGUCAGAGGUUCGAAGACGAUCAGAUACCGUCCUAGUUCUGACCAUAAACGAUGCCGACCGGCGAUCGGCCGGCGUUGUUUCAAUGACCCGGCCGGCAGCCUCCGGGAAACCAAAGUCUUUGGGUUCCGGGGGAAGUAUGGUUGCAAAGCUGAAACUUAAAGGAAUUGACGGAAGGGCACCACCAGGAGUGGAGCCUGCGGCUUAAUUUGACUCAACACGGAGAAAGUUAUCAGGCCAGGACACUGCAAGGAUUGACAGAUUGAGAGCUCUUUCUUGAUUCGGUGGAUGGUGGUGCAUGGCCGUUCUUAGUUGGUGGAGCGAUUUGUCUGGUUAAUUCCGAUAACGAACGAGACUCUGGCCUGCUAAAUAGUGCGUCGGUGCCGUCGUGCCCGCGGACGAUCACUUCUUAGAGGGACAAGUGGCGCUUAGCCACACGAGAUUGAGCAAUAACAGGUCUGUGAUGCCCUUAGAUGUUCUGAGCCGCACGCGCGCUACACUGAAGUAAUCAGCGUGCGCCGAUCCUGGCCCGAAAGGGCCGGGUAAUCCGCUGAACCUAUUUCGUGCUAGGGACUGGGGCUUGCAAUUGUUGCCCACGAACGAGGAAUUCCCAGUAAGCGCAAGUCAUCAGCUUGCGUUGAUUACGUCCCUGCCCUUUGUACACACCGCCCGUCGCUACUACCGAUUGAAUGGUUUAGUGAGAUCCUCGGAUUCGUCCCGGCGCCGGCGGCCCGUCCGUCGCGCCGCGGUCGCGAAGAAGACGGUCGAACUUGAUCAUUU